UCCACUAAACCUUAUCAUUUAG
rnacentral:siRNA from 1 species